AGGCCAUGGUGAGGACACAUACGAAUCAAUUCCUGAAACCUAUGCCAUGCUUCAUAGAGGCUCUCUCCAUCAUAUUGUGCAAACCUGGUUAUCUUGUCCCUAUACUC